AACGCACAUUGCGCCCCCUGGUAUUCCGGGGGGCACACCUGUUCGAGCGCCAUUUCUACCCUGGAGCCCCGCUCUGUGAUGGGCCCCGUCCUCGCGGACGGGCCCGAAACCCGUGGGCGCCGUCGUCCGGCCCCGAGCGUAGCAAGAGAAAUCCCUCGCUCGGAGUGCCUGGCGGCCGGUCGCCCCGAACCCCAUUUUUACAAGGUUGGCCUCGGAUCAGGUGGGGAUACCCGCUGAACUUAA
rnacentral:misc_RNA from 1 species